rnacentral:rRNA from 1 species
AACGAACGCUGGCGGCGCGCCUAAUACAUGCAAGUCGAGCGAGAAGACGUAGCAAUACGUUUGUAAAGCGGCGAACGGGUGAGGAAUACAUGGGUAACCUACCCUCGAGUGGGGAAUAACUAGCCGAAAGGUUAGCUAAUACCGCGUACGCUCCUUGGACUUCGGUUCAGGGAGGAAAGCGAUACCGUGGGUACCGCGCUCUUGGAUGGGCUCAUGUCCUAUCAGCUUGUUGGUGAGGAACGGCUCACCAAGGCUUCGACGGGUAGCUGGUCUGAGAGGACGAUCAGCCACACUGGCACUGCGACACGGGCCAGACUCCUACGGGAGGCAGCAGUAAGGAAUAUUGCGCAAUGGGCGAAAGCCUGACGCAGCGACGCCGCGUGGGGGAUGAAGGUC